GGAAUUUUGCACAAUGGGGGAAACCCUGAUGCAGCGACGCCGCGUGAUUUAGAAGGCCUUCGGGUUGUAAAAAUCUUUUGUAUGGGAAGAAAAUGACAGUACCAUACGAAUAAGGACCGGCUAAUUACGUGCCAGCAGCCGCGGUAAUACGUAAGGUCCGAGCGUUGUCCGGAAUCAUUGGGCGUAAAGGGUACGUAGGCGGAUAAGCAAGUUAGAAGUGAAAUCCUAUAGCUCAACUAUAGUAAGCUUUUAAAACUGCUCAUCUUGAGGUAUGGAAGGGAAAGUGGAAUUCCUAGUGUAGCGGUGAAAUGCGCAGAUAUUAGGAGGAAUACCGGUGGCGAAGGCGACUUUCUGGCCAUAAACUGACGCUGAGGUACGAAAGCGUGGGUAGCAAACAGGAUUAGAUACCCUGGUAGUCCACGCCGUAAACGAUGAGUGUUAGGUGUCUGGAAUAAUCUGGGUGCCGCAGCUAACGCAAUAAACACUCCGCCUGGGGAGUACGCACGCAAGUGUGAAACUCAAAGGAAUUGACGGGGACCCGCACAAGCAGCGGAGCAUGUGGUUUAAUUCGACGCAACGCGAAGAACCUUACCAAGUCUUGACAUAUUACGGAGGGAAUUAGAGAUAGUUCCUUACUUCUUCGGAAGACUGUAAUACAGGUGGUGCAUGGUUGUCGUCAGCUCGUGUCGUGAGAUGUUGGGUUAAGUCCCAUAACGAGCGCAACCCCUAUAUUUAGUUACCAUCAUUAAGUUGGGGACUCUAGAUAUACUGCCGGUGAUAAACCGGAGGAAGGUGGGGAUGACGUCAAAUCAUCAUGCCCUUUAUGACUUGGGCUACACACGUGCUACAAUGGCAGGUACACAGGGAAGCGAGACUGCGAAGUUAAGCAAAACUCAAAAAGCCUGUCCCAGUUCGGAUUGCACUCUGCAACUCGAGUGCAUGAAGUUGGAGUUGCUAGUAAUCGUGGAUCAGAAUGCCGCGGUGAAUGCGUUCCCGGGUCU
rnacentral:rRNA from 1 species